rnacentral:ncRNA from 1 species
CCAUCCCAAGUGUUGACCAAGAGGAGUAAAACCCCCAAAGGCCAUGUAAUGUCCCCACAACCAAGGGCAGACAAGACAGUACCAUACGGUCCCUGCCGAACCUGAACAUACCACCGAAUAAACGAUGAUUCUAGUUACUAUGGUUGACUCUGCAGCAAGUUCCCCUGGCUGGGGCUGUUACCCAGAGCGGUUGCGAGGCCCUUAGUUGCUAGGUCUCCUUCGGAUGCGAUCUCCUGGGAGUCGGGUUCCUUGGGAGUGCAACUCUAAUCGGGUGACAAACUCCAUCUAAGGCUAAAUACUGCCGUGAGACCGAUAGCAAACAAGUAACGUGAAGAUAAUUUCCAAAGAACUUUGAAGAGUACGUGAAACUGUUCAAAGGUAAAUGGGUGGACCUUCGAAAUCCUUGUGGCGGGAGGAUACAGUUGGGCUUCUGUGGCAGCACUGACGAUUGAUGAGCAAAAUAGAUCCCUGAAUUGAGACGGGUCGGUUGUGCAGGUUACUGUUCGCGACGCAUUUUCUCCCGCUCUGAGGACGCCGUAGCCAGUUGGGAAGAUUCGGCGGACUAAGUCUUCUGUUAAUUUUCCCCCAGAAGUGGAGUCUGUUUAGACGAAUGCCGGGAUUGCUCCCAGUCGAUCCCCGAGGGGAAUUAUAAUAUACAAAAGUAUCUAGUAGUAUAUAAUACAGCAUAAAGUAUCUAGUAUAUCUAGAAUAUCUAGUAUAUAAUACAGCAUGUAAAUAGGCAAUAAAAUAAAAUAGAAGUUACGCAACAUCUUAAAUGCAUUGCGUAUAUACAGCUGAUAUAUAAAUGUAAGAAAAAUUAAUAAAUCGUUUCUUCAUUAAAUACGA